rnacentral:rRNA from 1 species
CCGGUAGCCGUAUGCAGGGGGACGAACAGUCAGAAAUGACUGCUAAUACCGCAUAAGCACACAAUGCUGCAUGGCAUGGUGUGAAAAGAUUUAUCGGCAUACGAUGGCCCCGCGUCUGAUUAGCCAGUUGGCAGGGUAAUGGCCUACCAAAGCAACGAUCAGUAGCCGGCUUGAGAGAGUGACCGGCCACAUUGGGACUGAGACACGGCCCAGACUCCUACGGGAGGCAGCAG